rnacentral:rRNA from 1 species
UACAGAGACUGCAAGCGUUAUUCGGAUUCACUGGGCGUAAAGGGUGCGCAGGCGGCCAAGUGUGUUAGGUGUGAAAGCCCGGGGCUUAACCCCGGAAUUGCACCUAAAACUACAUGGCUAGAGCAUUGGAGAGGGGAGCAGAAUUCACGGUGUAGCAGUGAAAUGCGUAGAUAUCGUGAGGAAUACCAGAGGCGAAGGCGGCUACCUGGACAAUUGCUGACGCUCAGGCACGAAAGCGUGGGGAGCAAAAGGG